UUUACCGCCGGUCAAAUCUCACCGUCAGAAGCAACAAUCGUCAUGGCCAGCGACGACCAAAUCGGAACCUCGCCCUCUGUCUCCUCUCCGGAUUCCCCUCCACGGACCGGCGAUGGCGGCAUGGCCCAACCCGUAUCUUCCGCUACUCCUCAUCGCGGCCCUGCUCGCCUUCGAGGACUGGCUCUCCACGCCCUCCUGCUCCGGCGGCUCGCCCGCCCUCGACCCCACCUCCGGCGACCUCAGGGCCAUGAUGGUCGCGGACCUGAUGCUCCUUGGUUCGGAUGCUACAUACGCCGACCGCUUCUUCCGGGAUAACCUCAUGUCCAAGCUAAUCACCAAAUCUAUUCAGACAACGAAUCCAGAUAUGAUCGUAGUCCUUGGGGACAUCUCAGCAAAGGGUUCAGAGCAGAGCGAGAGCAAAUGGGUAGCUGUUCUUGAACAGUUUGAGGGGAUACUGGGGCAGUACUCUUCCCUUCCUAUUCAUAUCGUGUUAGGUGAUAAAGAUGUGGGCGGAUGUUUGAGUUUGGAUGGUAAAUUGGUGCACCGUAUGGCCAAUCAUUUGCCAGGAUUAGAUUCAAGUGGUUGUGGUUCCUUUGAGAUAAGUAAUACCAGUUUUUUGUCUUUAAAUGCGAUUGCACUGCUCUGUGGUGACAACAUGUUGCGGUUUGGCGUUGAGAAGGUUAUGGAGAUGGAAAGCCAUCGUUUUCAAAGGAAAAGGUUAAACGGACCACAACAUUAUUCUCUGGGAAGUGAAAAACAACAAGAUUCCGGUGCCCACAGUUGGAGACAAAACAGCAUGACUUCGGGAUCUGGUCCAAUCAUUUUACUCCAUAUUCCACUACAUAAGUCCGAUAAGUCUGAUGGAGGAAUCAUCGGUGUCCCCAUAUUUCCAGAGGGAACUGUCUCAGAUCAUCCUCUGGUUUCCUUCAGUUCUAAACAAAGUGGAGAUGAUGGCACAAAGCUGUAUGAUCGACUGCAUACCCUCCCUGCAAAUUCAACGCAGUAUAUUCUUCAGGCACUUAAACCAAGGAUAAUAUUUAGUGCUCAUGCUCAUAGCUUCUCAGACUACACCCACGCUGAUGGGACAAGGGAAGUUACAGUGCCUGCCAUGACAUGGAAGAAGAGUGGAGUGCCAGGUUUUGUCAUCGCUACAUUUGGACAGAAAGGGGCUGUAUCUGUGAAGUGCUGCUUGCUAGCUCAGGAAUGGUACAUAAUGACAGGAUAUUCAGCAUUUUUGUUCCUAACAGCUCUUGCAGUAAGAUGGUCACAUUGGAUGUGAAAUGGAAGUACUGAAAUUAUUUCAAGGAAUCAAGUUACUAGUUGUUGAAAUUUUACAGGAAUGUAGCUCACAUCUGGGGUUCCUUACAUAAUUUCUUGGAACUUUGGAAUACAAUUCUUCAUUUAUUGAAAAGUGAUGGGGGCCCGAGACACCUGGGAGCAAACCACAGUACUCAGAGUCUGAACUCAUAUAGUGAAGCUAUUCUCAAGCCCAUGCAACAGUUAUACUCAGAGUAUUUGACUGGGACACUUCAGCGAUCAGCUUCAAAUCUUCUGUUGCUCAGCUCAUGUGAUUACAAGGUGCUACUACAAUUCAUUAGCUUAUUGGAUUUUAUUCUUUGUAUACAGCUGUACAAGUAGACCAGGACUGGUUGCUUUGCUGCAUGUAUUUAUUAUGGUUUUGUUAUACCGACAACAAUAGGGGGCUUGAGGCUUGAGCAGAUACUCCAGAGUCAACCUCUUGUCAUAGAUCAGAGGCCGCUUUUAAGAUUGAUGGCGUACUUCAGGUCCUCAUAUGGGGUGACCUCCUAACCCUGAAAGCUGAAUGAGGUUUCCUACUGUUCUACAGUAAUUAUUGACAGGGAAGGUAACGUUCACCAGGUUGUGCCUUGAAGACUGCCAGCUGGAUAUUGAAAGGUAGUGUGUAGAUGGGAACGUAUCACCUGAAAACGGAUAGUUUCUGCAAAUCUGCAAAUAUCCGUCAAGACUCAAGACCGUUACAUCAGGUACGUGUGGUCAGAUUUCUUCCCGUUCUUAUCUCUAUUGUGCCUUUAUGGAAACACCCCUACACACUUAUUCUGGUUGACUUCUGUACCCGCUCUUCUAUCAAUAUGCAUGAGACAUCAUCCCCUUCCUAGCGAUAGCGACUCCCCUCCACUGCCGCCUAAACAUCCGCCCACACCAAAAAUGGACGCCGGUAUCUUCCUCCUACACGGGGGACUCUUAACCCAUGGAUCCAGCUACAUAUAGCUUCUUGGUGUGGUUUUUGUCCUCCCCAAAUCUAAGCUGACCCUCGUGCAGUUCUUCAUGAAUUUAUAUUUGGCUCAGAUGUUGAACAAGUGUUCUUGGUUAGGGUUAGUUUUUGUUGAUCCUCUGAUGUGUUUUCUCCGGGAAUAAAAAUGGAAGUAUAUACCAGAUUUGAGUUUUAUUCCAUUUUCGUUGUCUUCGGCUGUUAGCUUUCUACCUGCGGCUUGGAUACGGAUUCCAUGUUCUGCGCAACUUGGAUUCGGAUUACAUGAGAUUUAAUUGGUGUUCAAAGCAUUGUUGUUCAGAUCCCAAAUUUAAUUCUGCCAUGAAGAUUGGGAAUUUGGUCUACUACAUUACCACCGUGAAAAAGGAAUCUCAUGUCCAUCCUGCAGUCCAAGUGUCCAACGAAGGAUGAGGAUUUAGGGGACUGAGAAUUGUGGAGGGGUUCUCUGCAAAAUAGUUGUACCAUUGCUGGCGUCUUUUUGUAAAACGCACAUUGAGACGUGGGUGGCAGUUGCAAAGGAUCCUAGCCAUCGGUACGGAAUCUAGUGGUCAGUAUAGCAAAUUUUCAGAUUUGCAGAAUCUGGUCCAUUUUCACCUGAUACAUCCCCGUGUGUAGAUUACAUAUUGUUAUUGUCUGCUAUGCGAUGGUGCUACUGCAUGGUUGUCCAGACUCUGAAGAGCACCAAAUAUCACGAGCAGUGGCUUCUUGCUGGAUAGUCAAUGCGUUCCUCCGAGACUGGGACUGCCAAGUUGGACACCUCCUGAUUUUACACUAUCCGUGAGGUUAUACAAACAUAACUGUCAUUUGACUGCUCAUUUUUAAUGCAGCUUCUCAUGUCAAGUUGGGAAGUAAGUAUUGUGUAAAUAUUAUGCUGUUGUUAGUAAUUACGUUGAAACAGUGGACCAAGAAACUAACUGAAGCAUGCAACUCAAGCAUUGCAUCUACAGUGCUGCUAAGCUUAGCAAAAAAUUUCUUUGCAUGAGAUAAUUUAGGACUUGUAAGAUUUCUUCCCUCCCAAUUCUCCAACAUGCAGUCAAGGACUUUAAGUAGGCUGCCGAAUUUCAAGGUCUUUGGUUAACCGGUUAUCCUAUUUGUCAGGGUGUUGGUGCCUUGCAUUGCCUGAUAAAUACGCAGCAUAGAGAUUAUCUAUCAGGCUUUGUUUUGGUACUCGAGUUUUUGUGGGGAUAGUGAGGAUAAUCUCCACCAAAUUUCAAAUCCCCACUUGUUUCUAAAAGUUUGUUUGGUACUAGAGUAUUGAACGAGUUUAAUCCCCCAUUUAUUCCCACU